rnacentral:piRNA from 1 species
UGAAUGCAUUUCAUAAAUAACUACAACAGU